CCAGAUAGAGUGCUUAUUUCUCUUUUAUCAUUAUAUAUUCUUGUUGUGUGUUCAUGUCAUGCCAACAGAUGUACACUUUAUCAUGGAUUUAGCCAUGGGGUAGACUUAUAUUGGGUAUGGCGUAGAACCUAGUGCAAACUAUUACACAACAAAUAGACAAGCCAUAUACCGGUCCUUAGAGCUAAAAGUAGGGGAGUCGGAGAGAAUGCCGAGGUCAAAGACAAUAGAAAUACGGAUGAACAAUGUAACAAGUCAUGAUCAAAGGAUGCCAGAGAUCAGGAGACUUGAGUAAACAAACUAAGU